rnacentral:rRNA from 1 species
AUGCCUGGCCAUCCAUGCAUGAUGGUCACUACAGCACGACAGUUUGUGAUGGUGCUCAUGGUGGCUUACAGUGUGCAGACCAUGAUCUGUAGUUCUUUGCAUGGAAACGAGACAGAUCGGCUGUCGCUACUUGAAUUCAAGAAAGGGGUCAUGCUUGACCCACAACAAGCCUUGAUGUCGUGGAACGAUAGCACCCACUUCUGCCACUGGGAAGGUGUCUCGUGUGGGACGAUAACCACCCCUCCUCGUGUUAUUUCGCUCAAUCUUACAAGACGAGGUUUAGCAGGGCAAAUAUCUCCUUCUCUUGGAAACCUUACAUUCCUACAGUCUCUAUUCCUACCAAAUAAUUCAUUCUCCGGAGAGAUCCCUCCAUCCCUUGGUCAUAUGCAUAACCUCCAAACCAUCUACUUGAAUUUUAACAGAUUGCAAGGAAGGAUACCUAAUCUUUCCAACUGUACCAGCCUAAUGAUGCUUCGGCUGGUUGGGAAUAAUCUAGCUGGUAAAUUUCCUAAUUUACCUAGUCAUCUGCAAGAGCUGCGCCUCUCCGGCAAUGAUCUCAUUGGAACCAUCCCUUCUUCUCUUGCCAAUAUUACAACACUAAGAGGUAUCACUUUCACGUUUAAUCACAUUGAGAGCAAUAUCCCAAAUGACUUCGCAAAGCUGCACAAGCUGCAGAUCCUAUUAGGGGCUGUCAAUAAGUUGACGGGCACGUUCCCACAUGCCAUCUUAAAUCUUUCUGCUCUCAAUCUUCUUAGCCUUGCCUUCAAUUAUCUAGGUGGGGAGGUACCAACCUACCUCGGUAACCAUCUCCCUAACCUCCAACUUCUUCAAUUGGCUGACAACUUCUUUCAUGGGCAUAUUCCCUAUUCAUUGAUAAAUUGUUCCGAGCUGCACUACGUCGACAUGUCAAGUAAUAAUCUUACUGGUGUAGUACAUAGUACCAUCGGCAAACUUAACAAGCUGUCCUACUUGAAUCUUGAAUUCAACCACUUCCACGCUCGUAACAAGCAGGAAUGGGAGUUUAUGAGCAGCUUAACCAAUUGCACCGAGCUACAGAGUUUCUCAAUGAAAGGGAAUCACCUACAAGGAAAUGUACCAAAUUCAUUGGGAAACCUUUCUGAUCAGCUUCAGAAUCUCCUUUUGGGAACAAAUAAAUUAUCAGGAGGUUUUCCUUCUGGCAUAGCAAAUCUGCGAGGCCUAUUCAAAUUAGGGUUAGGAGAAAAUCAGUUUACAGGUGUUUUGCCAGAAUGGCUUGGAACUCUGCACAAUUUACAAGGAAUAGAGCUAGCUAACAACUCCUUUACAGGGGUUAUUCCAUCAUCCCUUGCAAACUUAUCUCAGCUGAUAGAACUCUUUCUAGAAUCUAACCAUUUAUAUGGAAAUAUACCCCCAAGUUUGGGAAACCUUAAGGUCCUUGAAAAAUUGAGCAUUUCCAACAACAAUCUUCAUGGCAGCAUACCAAAAGAGAUCUUGAGCAUUCCUACAAUAAGUCGAAUUGGGUUAUAUUCCAAUAAACUAGAUGGGGCACUUCCUAUAGAAAUAGGACAUGCCAAGCAACUGCUGUAUCUGCUAAUUUCAUCAAAUAACCUAUCUGGUGUCAUCCCUGAGACACUCGAUGGCUGCGAAAGUUUGGAAGUCAUCGAGUUUGAUCAGAAUUCUCUUAGUGGAAGAAUUCCAACUUCAUUAGGAAACAUAAGCAACUUGGAGGUGCUUACUGUGUCUCACAACCACUUAUAUGGAUCCAUACCGAAGUCCAUUGCUGCUCUGAAAUACCUUCAACAACUAGAUAUGUCAUUCAACCGUCUUGAUGGUGAAGUUCCAGAAGAAGGUGUCUUCAAGAACACAACUGCCAUACGCAUAGGCGGAAAUCAUGGGCUCUGUGGUGGAGUCCUAGAGCUACACCUACCUGCAUGCCCUGUUACAAUUUCAAGCCCGUCCAAGCACACUUGGCCACUAUGUUUCAAAGUGAUGAUUCCACUAGCUAGCAUGGUGCUACUUGCCGGUUUCGUGUCCAUGCUACUUUUCUGGAGGAAAAAACAAAGGAGAGAAUUGAUGUCUCUACCUUCUUUUGGUAGAAAAUUUCCCAAAGUUUCUUAUGAUGAUAUCGCCAAAGCAACUGAAGGGUUCUCCUUGUCCAACGUAAUCGGCAGUGGAAGGUACAGUUCGGUAUAUAAAGCCAAACUGUUUCGAGAUGGAAAUGUGGCUGCUGUGAAAGUCUUUGCUCUCGAGACAAGGGGAGCACAAAAGAGCUUCAUCACAGAAUGCAAUGCUUUGAGGAACGUGCGGCACCGCAAUCUAGUCCAUAUCCUUACUACAUGCUCUAGCAUUGAUUCUAGAGGAAUCGACUUCAAAGCACUAGUCUAUGAGUUCAUGCCACAAGGGGACUUGCAUAAAUUUCUACACUCUGCUCGGGGUGACGAAAGCUCUUCAGAUUCGAACUACAUUUCACUGGCUCAAAGGUUGAGCAUCGUGGCAGAUGUAUCAGAUGCAGUGGCGUACCUUCACCAAGAGGGUAUUGUUCAUUGUGAUCUGAAACCUAGAAACAUUCUCCUAGACGAUGAUAUGGUAGCUCAUGUUGGGGACUUCGGGCUUGCAAGGUUGCCGAUUCAUACCACAACAUCGUCUUCUGAAUCAACUUCGACGUCUUCGGUUGCAAUAAAGGGAACCAUAGGAUAUGUUGCUCCAGAAUGUGCAGGGGGCGGUCAGGUUUCAACUACUUCGGAUGUUUACAGCUUUGGAGUCAUCCUCCUUGAAGUAUUCAUCCGAAGGAGGCCAACGGAUGCCAUGUUCAAGGACGGAUUGAGCAUUGCAAAGUUUGCAGAGAUCAACUUCCCCCAUAAAGUGCUGCAGAUUCUUGACCCAGAACUGCUGCAGGAGCUGAACCUCUGCCGGGAAACUCCGAUGGAUGUUGUCGAGAAAAAUGGAGCGCAGAGUCUCAUUUCUGUGAUUAGUAUUGGGCUGUGUUGCACCAGGUCGUCCCCAAGUGAGCGCAUCAGCAUGCAGGAAGUGGCUGCCAAGCUGCAUGGGAUCAGAGAUGCAUAUCUCUUUACACAAGAUUGA